AUUGAACGCUGGCGGCAGGCCUAAAACAUGCAAGUCGAACGAGUGGCGGACGGGUGAGUAAUGGAUGGGAAACUGCCUGAUGGAGGGGAUAACUAAUGGGAACGGUAGCUAAUACCGCAUACCCUCAGAUGUUCCCAGAUUGGAUUAGCUAGGUGGUGGGGUAACGGCUCCACAAGUCGACGAUCCCUAGCUGGUCUGAGAGGAUGACAAGCCACACUGGAACGGAGACACGGUCCAGACUCCUACGGGAGGCAGCAGUGGGGAAUAUUGCACAAUGGGCGCAAGCCUGAUGCAGCCAUGCCGCGUGUAUGAAGAAGGCCUUCGGGUUGUAAAGUACUUUCAGCGGGGAGGCGUUACCCGCAGAAGAAGCACCGGCUAACUCCGUGCCAGCCGCCGCGGUAAUAC
rnacentral:rRNA from 1 species